UGAACUCAAAACAGAGAAACAUUGGAAUUAAAAGAAAAGGAAGAAAAAAAAGAAAUAUGCCAAAA